AUUGAACGCUGGCGGCAUGCCUUACACAUGCAAGUCGAACGGUAACAGGUCUUCGGAUGCUGACGAGUGGCGAACGGGUGAGUAAUACAUCGGAACGUGCCCGAUCGUGGGGGAUAACGAAGCGAAAGCUUUGCUAAUACCGCAUACGAUCUACGGAUGAAAGCAGGGGACCGCAAGGCCUUGCGCGAACGGAGCGGCCGAUGGCAGAUUAGGUAGUUGGUGGGAUAAAAGCUUACCAAGCCGACGAUCUGUAGCUGGUCUGAGAGGACGACCAGCCACACUGGGACUGAGACACGGCCCAGACUCCUACGGGAGGCAGCAGUGGGGAAUUUUGGACAAUGGGCGAAAGCCUGAUCCAGUCAUGCCGCGUGCAGGAUGAAGGCCUUCGGGUUGUAAACUGCUUUUGUACGGAACGAAAAGACUCUGGUUAAUACCUGGGGUCCAUGACGGUACCGUAAGAAUAAGCACCGGCCAACUACGUG
rnacentral:rRNA from 1 species